CUCUGGGUAAAGACCGUGUCAGGCGCUCGGCGUACUGCAGCGUCUGGGGACCAUAAAUAGGGACGGACUGAUUCUGCUUCCUGUCAGCAGCCAGCACAGAGGACGAGGACGUGGUGUAUUGGAUGUGAGACAGAGAGCCAGCUAGAGAUACGGCAAGGUGUCGCUUCCGCUUGUAGCGCACCACACUAUACAGAGAAACUUUCACCCAGAAUGCAUAGCAGCAAGCAGCAUGUGGUGUGCGGCUGAGUUCCUGUCUCGCUUUCAGAAGGACCUCUGCACCAGCACCACACACAGGUAUGAGCUAAACGAUCGUCUUUAUAUGCACACACACACACACACACACACACACACACACGUUAUUCAAAUUUUUAGUGUCCAACACCUUCAUACACCUCUGCUAACACAUGGUGUUGUUUUAAACACAUUACUGAUGCAAGCUAUUUCAUUUUUUUCCAAUACAAACUACGAAUAUUACAAAACGCUCCUUUUGGAUUCGAGUAAGUUCACUGAGACGCAGAACCGGACGGAGUCCGGGCGGUGUUCGGGGGGUAUUUAGAUUUCACAGGUCAAAGCCAUUCUGAUGCGUCGAGGCAUAUUUUAUUGAUUUCCAGAGUUAGGCUAGUCGUGCCAUUCUUCUUCCUGUGUGGUCUGAUAGAGCGGACAGGAAGUGCAGCAAUCGAACAAGAUAUGCGUUUGACUUCAUGCUAUUUUUACGCGACGAAUGCUGACUCAUGCAGCAGUAAAAAAUACUCCAUGCGCUGUACUUUAUUAACUUUAUUAAAUAUUUAUCUCACUUUUAAAUGCACUACUUUUAUAAAAGAGCUACUCAUAGAGGCGGGUUUAUAGAGCGUAUAUCCUAAGAUGGACUGAAAUGAAGAAAAUAAAAGAUUUUACAGAAAUGUUACCUAUAAAUGAAAAUGCUUGAAUCUUUACUUAAUACAUUUGUGACUUUAAUAAAUGGUACUUAAGCAAUUUCAUGCUUGUGGCUUUGUGGAUGUUGGACCUUUCGCAAGUUACUUCUGCUUUUACUCGAGUGGCUUUCUGGAUUAGCGCUGCAUACUGAUCUUGAAUGUUAAAAUAGCAUUAUGUGGUGUUGAAAUUUUUAAGCUCCAUUAGUGAAUUUGAGACUUUCCCCUCCAAAUGCACUAUUUGAAUAGCGUUCCUGCCACUAAACAUGCAGCUUCAGCGUGUAAUAGCGUUAUUAAUGCACGGCUGUAGAAGCAGAGCGUCGACGCUGUCUGUCAGGUCGAUACUGUUCCGUUAAUAGCUGUGCUACUCACAGGAAGCUGGCACUGCUAAUUAAAGAUGGCGGAGGUUGGGGAAGGAGGGAGUGGUUCUCUGUUGUGUUUUUGAUUUUUUUCCCCCUUUGUCAUUGUCAGAUGUGUUCACACUUCCUUGUUCUCACUUCUCCUCACUCUAAUGAAAUGUCGAACUUCCUCUUUCUGGUAUAACCGCUGUCUUUCUGCCCUUACAUUGCCUCAUGUUACACCCAGAAAGCAUGUGUGCAGACACAGUAUGGUACCAAAGGUCAUAAGAGGAGAAGAUUAAACUUACCAAGCUAAAAUAAGACCUGAUUAUCUAGUUGCGGAUUUACAUGUUUUCUGUUCAUGUAGAAAUUCCGUUACGCAUGAAUCGGCCGGUGAGAUGUUUUAUAUCAAGAUAGGUCAGAGCAGGUGUCAGCUGCGUGUACUCCACUGUAAAGUGCCUGCAAAUGCUGUUUAUUAUAAACCUGUUAUAGGCUGGUGUGAUGUAGAUUUUUCUCUGCUCAUGAUUUUAUUUAUUUAUUUUUUAAAAUUGCAAUAAAUGAUUGAACCAUCCAUAACCGAGACAGGAACAACGGUAUUUCCUCUUUUUCAGGUUUAAGGACAGUAGGGGAGGGUGUAAUUAUAUAAUCAGCCGUACACUCAGUGGUACAUUUUUGUAUUUAAUCCUUACACAGUAUAAUAAAAAUCAGGUAUGUAAUGUCCACAUGGCCGACAUUGUUACUAUUGAUCUGCUGCUUAUUGUAUUGAAUGUGUGUUGAAGAGCAAAAAAAAAAAAAACAACCCCAAAAACAUAAUUAAACACUUUUUAAUCAUCACCAUUAACACUAUUUGUAAAAUUUCUUUUUAGGUCAAUUUUUUGUGCUUUUUUCCACAGUUUGCGACCAUAAUUUUGCCCAAAAUCUAGAUUUUAUUUUAAUAUGAACAAACUCAAAACAGUUUUAUAUUUACCUUUAUAAAAAGCGAGCACUGGAGUCCAGAGAGCCCCAAAAUCAUGUGAGAUUGGGGGAAGGGGGCGGGGCUUCUAGGUGUCACUCAAUAUCACACACCUGUGCAAAUUAUUCCAGCUGCGUAUGACAAUUGUGUCAUCUCCUGUGUUAUUGAUAAAGACUGCUCUUUGAGUGUUUUUUGAAUGCUAAAUUGCAAUGGUUGGUGGGUUUGGUAAUAUAUAAUCAUAUGGAAUUAAAUUUGUGCCAAAAGUAUUGAACAUAACUUUCCAAGAAACGAACAAUAUGCGCUGAGAAAGUAGAAAAACACUCUGAAACUGAAAACACUGAACUCGGUGGCAAAAAUGUAACACGGUCUUCAAAUAAACAGCCUUCUUUGUUAACGGUUUUCGAAGCUUCGUUUUCGCUAAUUAUGGUUUAUGUAGAGUUUCCGUUUACGCUCCGCAAGUUUACGUUUGCCAUUCUAGCAGAAAUCUCACGUGUGGGUGGGGCUUAACAGCAAUUUACUCUCAUUGGCUAAUGAGAUUUGGCUUAUAAUUUAAACUGCAGCAUUACCUUUUUUCCCCCCAGUGUCACAAACGACUCAUCCAACGAUCCGUUCUAAAGGAUUCAUUCUAAGCUCCUCCUUUCAGAGAGCAUACUCUGCUCUGAUUGGUCAGAUGUCCCAGUCUGUUGUGAUUGGUCUACCGCUGUCAGCGUGUUUCAAAAAGGAAACGCCCACUACCAUAAUGAGUUUCAGCUCCAUCUGUCCUCGAGCAGCCAAUGAAGACCAGAGGCGGGGUUUAUUGUUACAAACCUACGUAGGUUAGUACAGGAAAUAAGUCUGGAAUCACUAACGACUCGUUUCAGCUGUUCAGAAUCAGUUCCUUCUUUGAGAGAUAAUAACCCCGUUUGUCGUGCGCUUUGCAGAUUUUUCACCUUCACAAACAGCUACAUAACACUACAUGAAAGGUAAUAUUUGAAAAACCAUAAUAGGUGCACUUUAAUAUGGCUUAUAAAUAAGAACGUUUAUAACAAUUAGCAUUUUGGGGUUCUAUUUAUUAUAUUUAUGUAUUGUUUUUUCAGUAAUGUAAAACGUAACUGUGAGGAAUAACGUACAAUUUAACAUCUUGUUACUCCGCUGACUUUCUCCUCUAGGGCUCUCUGAUCUCUGAUGAGAUGAUUAUUCCCAGUUACAGUAACAAGUGACCAGUUUUAUUUGAAAUAAAAGCAUAACAUACUUGAAAUACUUGCGGAUUUAAACGGAUCUUUCUCUCUACCUCGUUAUCUAAACUGCACUAAAUCAUUCAGUGCAGCCAAAAUGAACCAGGCUUAAAAACGUAAAAAAUGAACUCUACCUUCCUCGUUACUAUACUAUGAAAUGACUGCACAUAUUUCAGUACCACAUCAAGAACGAUGAAGCCCCAUGAAUGAAAUUUAAGGAGUCUUUAAAGUUCAACCAGUUAGUAUAUAUCACUCACCAAGUACUGGGUGCUUUCGUUUGUGCAUCUCGACCGUGGUCUGCUAUGAGAUAAGGUAUCUCUGCUUUUACUUUCACUAAGGGAUCAGAGUUUCUGGUUCUCUAUGCAGGCGCUAGAGAGAGCGAGAGAGAGAGAGAGAGAGAGAGCGAGAGAGAGCGAGCGAGAGAGAGAGAGAGCGAGCGAGCGAGAGAGAGAGCGAGCGAGAGAGAGAGCUCGGUUCACCCUCUUGUUUUCUACAGUACCAGUCAUGUUCACAUGAACGCAGUGUGAAAUGACAUUAAACCAUCCCCCCCCCCCCCACAUUCAGCUUUGUUUAACUUCUGAUCUAACAAGAAGGCUGUAUGUUGCAAGUGUUACCUGUCAGUCUUUUUUUUUUGUUCCUUAAAACUGCCUCUGCAUUGUCAGGUCUGAAAACAGUGUACAUGCUGCAUUACAUGGUGUAUCAGCGCUGCAUAUCAAUGGCUUCACUGUGGUAUUACCCAGGAAUGGAGGCCUGUGUGCACGUACAUGUCUGUUAUUUGUUAAUAAAUAGCUAGUUGAAUAUAAAAAUCACAGAUGAUCGUUUUUCAUGCAUGCAUCCAUCCUUUUCCCAUACCGCGUAUCCUCACAGAGUCACGGGGAGCCUGGAGCCUGUCUCAGGACUCGAGGCACGAGGCAGGGGGACACCCUGGACAGGGUGCCAACCCAUCGCAGUGCACAAUUGCACACACCCAUUCACACACUACGGAUAAUUUGGAAAUCCCUAUCAGCCUACAAUGCAGGUUUUUGGACUGGGGAGGAAACUGGAGUACCCGGGGGAAACCCUCCACAAACUCCGCACACACCGGGCAGCGAAGGGUGGGAUUCAAACCCCCAACCCCAGUCAUUCGAGCAAACAUGCUAACUACUAAAGCCACCGUGCCCCCUGAUCGUUUUUCAUAAUUGAUUUAUUGGACUAAUCAUUGCCUGAAACUAGUAUGAAACUGUCUUUAACAACGUAUAAAUGUUUCACUGUUACAUUUAACGUUUGGGAGAAUAUUUGUAAACCAUAAUAGUACUGACACACUUGCGAUAGACAUAAAAUAAACAUCCAUGGUGCGUCAGGCUUUUGCACGGAACACACCGGGGAGAUCAUGGUGCAGCAGGAAGCUUUGCUGCCUCUCAGGAUCCCUAGAUUUUCAUCCUGAGCUCAGAGCUCCGGUUAUUGAGUGUGCAGGGUUCUCGCCUUGCAACACUGUAUACCGUAUAAUGGAUAUAGGAACGCUUUUGGGUCGUACACAACAUUUUCCAGAGAAACAGGAUGUUUUAUCAGCAAAAUGGUUCUGAACAUAGCCUAGCUAAUGGUUUUUAGCUCAAAUUUAAUCACCUGUCUGUUUAUAGAUGCGUUAUCACUGGUGUGGUGCGCUAGAAGUCUGGAAAGAUGUCGGAUGUCCCUACAGCUGAAUUCUGGAGCACAGUGAUGUGUUUUUUUACACAAUGUUACAGUUUGAAGUGGUCGGCUUGUUGGAUAUCAGUUCAGUUUGUGAUCAGAUAACAUCGAUGCUGCUGCGCCAUCACAUCAUCAGCAAUACAGAGAAGAGCGCUUACACGGUCUGUACAGAUGACAGCGGGCAAAGAACAGAACUGACCGCAUUAAUCAGCGAUUAUUUCACUACCUGUGCAAGCAUGAACGAAGAGCGCGAUCUCUUAUGUUAAGAGACUGAUGCGAAAGAUGCUGAUAAUCAAAAUGAGAACUCAUUAAAUAGGUUAGGUUACAAACAUAGGGCAUCUUUCAAAUGUCACAAUAUGACUUGCAGGACUGUAGAAAAGUCUUAUGCUCACGCAAAGAAAUGCUGUAGACAAAAGAUGCGUUCAAAAAUAAUGAAAUGAAAUGUUUCCUAAAAGUAUUAAAAAGAAUACUGUAAAGAGCAGUAAGAGAUGAAACAAAGGAGAUAUAUUUGGUGUGACGACGCUUUGCUUUAAUAGUUUCAGGUAGAAUUAGUGUAGUUUUAUAAGAAAAUGAGCUAUAAGUUUUAUUGAGCAUCUUCCAGAACCAGACACAGUUCUUCUGUGUUUUCUGUCUGAGACGUGUCUCUUACCACUUAAUAUCUUGCUUUCUUUAAUGACAUGCAAACAUUUUUCUGUAACAUUUAAUUUUGUGCUGGAAAACUAAUGUUUGGGAAUUAAAUUUUUUUUUUAUACUGACUCAGUAAUGUAGAAGUUAUAAAAUAAAUAAUCUAUACUAAAGUUUGUACUAAAGAAAAAUAGGGUGCUUAAACUUUUAGCAGGGGCACACACACUAAAGCUGUGCUCGUGCCACGUCGUAAUUACCGUAAGUACGAGAUUCUGACUUGUCAAAAGCGUUCACAUCUUCAUAGAAGUCAUAAUUACUACUAAACUAUGAAUUUUCUGAGAGCUCCGACUUCGCUGCGACGUCAUGUGGAAACACUCGAGCAGUUAUCUCGUAAUAUUACUGUGUAAUAAUUUGCAUAAUUGACCUUUUAAUGUUUUAAUAAUACAAGGUUAAUCUGAAAAUAAAUGAAAGACAUAGCACAGAGUUGGAGUUGUGGUUUAGGUUUGCAACAACACACUAUUAAUGAACUAUUAAUGCGCUAUUAAUAAACAUGUUAUUGUUACCUGAUACGCUUUCUGUGUUCUUUCAGUAUUUAGCAUUAGUAUAAAAAUGUGAUAAUGUUGUAAUUAUGUAUUUUGCAGUUGUAUUUUGGCACAUAGAAUCGCAUAAUUCCGAGUGCGAGGAUGUGACCGGCUCCGAGAAGAACGUCCGAAUUGUCGUUUGUAAUUCUGGUAAUUCCCACAUGGCAUGAACGCAGAGUGAGUUCCAGUUCACGUUCACUUUCAUUAGCCAGCAUAUGAAGAAUGUACAGCUGCUUGUCACGUGCCAGAGUAGAAAUGGAAGAGAAAGAGGCGUAGCAUCAAACAGACUUCACUGAAUAUUAAAAGUAUAAAACAAGUUUUUGUGGAAAAGAAGUUUUUUAAUAAAUAAAGAAGGCGAAGGCUGACUUCUUCCUGGCACUGUUUUAGCCAAUACUGAAUAAGGAAUUGUGAGCCGUUGCGAAGAAUUUAUCUUUCUAACAAGUUCUUUCCUGAAAACGAGGAAACUGUAUUGUUAGAAAAUCUACAAUCACAGUCUCCAGUUUACUCCUAUGUGUGAUUCGAAGAGUACCUACAGGAAACGUAUAGUGUGCUUAAUAGCACUUUCUAUCUCUCUCUCUCUCUCUAUCUGUGUGUGUGUGUGUGUGUGGCAGGUUUGCAUGUUCAAUAUGUACAUCACAACGCUCCAUCAUGACACUUUGACUCAUUUCAUUCAUCUGCCGUGCUUUUUAUUUUCAGUAUGACUGUAAUGCACCUAAACACCAGUGUGGCACAGCCUCCGCUAGUUCAUUCCAUGGUUCAGCAAGUGAACAAGUUCCUGAAAGGCUCUUUGGGGUUCUAUUAAUUUCUUUACGCAACCCAAUGAACCGUUAGACAGAUGAUUUAAAUACGUGAGCGCGUAAUUAAAGUUUCAAAUCCUUUUUUGAAAGACAUGCAGUUUAACCUUCUAGCAUCUUAAAGAAGGAGCUCUGAGCUUGUCCUGAAUGGAUCUGAAACCUUUUAUUGUAAAGUGCACCAGGUACAGCCCCAAUUCCGAAAAGUUGGGACUUUGACUUGUAUUUAAAGAUAAAAACAUACAAAGACAAGGUAUUUGAUGGUUUACCUAAUUAACUGCAUAGUUUUUUUUUUUUAAGAUAAAUGUUUAUUUUGAAAUUUAUGCAUGCAACAUGUUCUAAAGACUCACCAAUCUGCCAACAGAUGCAUCAGAGAAUAAUCCAACACUUUGAGAACAACAUUCCCCAAAGACAAAUCGGCAGGAUUUUGGGCAUUUCACCUUCUACAGUGCACAAUAUAAUUAAAAGAUUCUAUAAAGAAUCCAGUUAAAUCUUUGUGUGUAAAGGGCAAGACCAAAAACCACUUCUGAGUGAGCGUGAUCUCCGAUCCCUCAAACGUCCCUGUCUUAGAAACCGUCAUGAGUCUGGAUAUCCUGACAUGGGCUCGGGAAUAUUUUGGUAAACCUUUGUGAGUCAACACCAUUCGCCACUGCAUCCACAGAUGCAAGUUAAGGCUUUACUAUGCAAAGCAGAAGCCACACAUCAACACUGUACAGAUGCGCUGCCGACUUCUCUGGGCUCGGUCUCAUCUGAGAUGGAAUCGUGUUUUGUGGUCCGACGAGUCAUUUCAAAUAGUUUUUGGACAAAACAGCCGUCGUGUUGUCCGAGUCAAAAAAGGAAAAGGACCGUCCAAGCUGUUAUCAGCGUCAGGUCCAAAAGUCAGUGUCUGUCAUGGUAUGGGGUUGUGUCAGUGCCCAUGGCAUGGGGGAAUUGCACAUCUGUGAAGGCAACGUUAAAGUAGAAAGAUAUGUACACAUUUUGGAGCAACUUAUGCUGCCCUUCAGAGCAGGAAAAUGCCAAACAACAUUCUACUCGGAUUACAAGCGCAUGGUUGCGUAAGCAGAUAGUGCAGGUUGUAGCAUGGCCUGCCUGCAGUCCUCACCUAUCUCCGGUUGAAAAGUUGUGGCGCAUUAUGAAGCGCAAAAAAUAAGGUAACGAAGGCCCCGUACAGUUGCCCAGCUGAAGAAAUGCAUGAUGGAAAGUUCCGCUUGCUAAACUUAACCAACUGAUGUCUUCACUCCCAAACUCUUAAUAAGUGUUAUUAAAAGAAAAGGUGAUGUUACACAGUGGUAAACAGUCGACUGUCCCAACUUUUUCAUCUUGCAGUCAUCAGCUUUUAAAUGAGUGUAUAUUUCCAAAGAUAAAUUAAACUCAGUGUGUUUUCAAUAUAGUGCAGGGUGAAUUGAAUCUUCAAAUGACUCUUUUUGUUAGUUUUUUGGCAUUUUCCAUACUGUCCCAACUUUUUUGGAAUUGGGCCUGUAGAUCAAGUCAACGAAAGAGGAAAUAGGUAGAGGCGAGAGGUACAAUGGUAAAAAAGUAAAUUAAAGAAGAAGAAGUAAAAGACGAGGAUGCUUUUUUCUGCCUCAUGUAACACAACAGUUAGCAUAGAGUAACCAAUGCAAAUACACUUGCUUUCAUUCCGUUUAAAAGCCGAGAGACAUUUCAUUGUCAAAUAUUGGACAAAAACUGCUUUCUGUACACCAAGUCAUUGAGCCGAACUGUGGCAGCGAUUUAUUCAUGGCAGGUGAUUAGCAGUGACAUAGUGUUGUUAAUGCUAAUAUACAGAAUAUUCAGUAUACACAUCUUAUAAAUGAAGCAUAUGUAUCCUGGGGGGCCAUGGUGACUUAGUGGUUAGCACGUUUGCCUCGCACCUCCAGGGCUGGGGGCUCAAAUCCCGCCUCCGCCCUGUGUGCGUGGAGUUUGCAUGUUCUCCCUGCUCUUCGGGGUUUCCUCCGGGUACUCCGGUUUCCUCCCCCAGUCCAAAGACAUGCGUUGUACGCUGGAUGGCAUUUCUAAAUUGUCUUUAAUGUGUAAAUGAGUAUGUGAGUGGGUGUGGAAUUGUGCCCUGCAAUAGGUUGGCACCCCAUGCAGGGUGUCCUUGUACCUCGAAUCCCCUGGGAUAGGCUCCCUGCGACCCUGUGUAGGAUAAGCGGUACAGAAGAUGGAUGGAUACAUCCCGGUCAGGUUCAUUAUGAAUCCAGAACAUACCCCAGGAACACUGGCAGGGAGGCAGAAAUACACCCUGGUGGGACACCAUUCCAUCACACAACACCAUGCAUACACACAUUCACACCUAGGCAAUCCACCUACGCCAUGUUUUUGGGAGGUGAGAGGAAACUGAAGACCCUGGUGGAAACCAGUGUGGACACUAGGAAAACAUGCAGAACUCCACACAGAGAUUAACCUGAGCUCAGGAUUGAACCUGGGACCCUGGAACUGUGAGGCUGUAAUGCUACCUGCUGCACUAUGGUGUAAAGGCGUGUCUUAUUAACGUGAGAGAUAAGCUCUCUCCACUGUUUUUGUUUCAUGAAUCACCUGUCCCUUAUGAUACAACAUGUCAAACUAUAUAUUAACGGUAGCAGAGUUGUAGUCAUGUACGCAUGAAGAAAGUCUAUUGCCUUUUCUGUAAUUCGCAUGCAGCAACCUACAAAAAGUGUGGUUUGUUUCUAGCCUCACAAACCAGAUGUCUUAGGCAGCUGUAGCUGAGACUGUGAUGUUGUGAACUUCACAAAUUGUUUAAGCUUGGGGACUAGGUCUUGUUAAAAAAAAAAAAAAAAAUCCCAAAGUUUCCAGAAUAAUUUUCUGAGUUGCUGAGAUAAAUCCGAACUGCUCUUCUUCUGAGCAUCACUAUGACGAUGUGUAUUCUUUGUUUCAGUCAUUUUACUCUGUAGGUUUAUUCUCUAGUGGAAUAGUGAGAGGUACAUUUCCAAAAGUGUUCUUAUUCAAAACCAAUGAUAAUGGAACAGAUACUUUUAGGAUAAAUUUCCCUCACUUUUAUGAAUGGAAAUGUUUAGAAAUAGAUGUUUAAUGGAAACUGUGACUUCUCCCUCACUGUCUGUGACUAAACGCUGCAGUAUUUCUCAAACGCUCAUCAGUUGAAACACAGACAGAGGAAUGCUAGCUGAGUGGGAGCUAAAGAAAUAAUCAAAUACAGCCAAGACAUUUUUUCCUUGCACAUAAUAUCUGAAUGAAUUUCUGAGAAAGAAAGAGAGGGAUAAUGUUUUAAACAAUGCUGGAUUGUCACCUUGGCCUCAGAUCUAAAUGUGCCACAGACUUACCACCAUGGCAAUGUCACCUACAACAAUGCUAAUGCUAGAGCUAACAAAUUGACAUGUGGAUUAAACUUUUUUGUUUUUUUAACACAUCUUAAUAGUUCUUUAGUCAGACCUUACACUUAAGCAUCCACAACACAGGACAAAUAGUUGGACUGUGAUGUAAUUUUUGCAUGCAGUAACAGCACAGGUAAUCAGAUGUUAAAUUAAAUAUGAAUUGUUAACUGAAAUGCUUUCUGGUGAAAAGUCCAAAAAGAGGCAUAAACAGUCAUGGAAAGACUCAUGAAACAGAUGCAUCUUACUACUGAAUAGGCAUUGUUUCUCUGUGUGGUUUUAACACAUUUAAAACAAACACAAUUAAAAAAAACAACAACAACAUUAUAUUCUUUAUGAAUCUAUACAUCUACUCCAGAUCAAAACGAGAGAAUACCAAAAAUAUUACUUCAAAAAUUUUAAUUAAUAAAUUAGACGAAGAAAAUUAUAACUAGGGAAACAGGAAGCCCAGAGAACAACAGUUUCAUUUGCUUUUCUUCCACUUUUCAUUAUUGUGUUUACCGUGCAAAGGCACAAGCAAACAUUAUUAUUAUUAUAAUUAUUAUUAUAAUUUAUUUUUUAAAUUAUUAUUAUUUUUUUAAUCGGUCCAUUUGGCGUAGCAGCUUUGCGCUGGGAGAUGGCACUUCAGGUAUUCUAAUCACUAGCAAGCAUAUCAGCAGACCUGCCAACUUGUAUACAUGUUGCUGAUUCUGACACAUGUGUAGCUUCUGAGUAUGUACAGUCAUGUAAAAAAUAAGUACACCCCAUGGAAAUUGCUGUCUUUUUGGACAUAUUUGGACAAGCAAACAGUUGAUCAGCUGUGAAACAGUGCGUACACCCAUGGGUGUACUUAUUUUUUCACAUAACUGUAGUUAACGUCAGUUACUGUGUUUAUUUAGGAUGCAACAGAAAAAUCUUGACUGAAAAUAGUCAAAAAUAGCUGAAAGAGGAAAUAAAAACUUCUAAAUAGGUCUACAAUGACCUAAAAUCGAACACGUCACAACCUGUAAUCUUAUUUCUAACUUACGCAAGUGCUUAGUGAUAGGAAUAUAUUGAAAAUGUUCCCCCAGACAUCACCACUAACCCCCAGUCCAGAACUAUGCAUUGUUCCUCUUCAGGGAUGGCAGGUGUGUAUCAGAAAGAACCAAGGCCUUGCCAGACAUCUUCGAGCCACAAGUAGGACUCUGGCCUAGUUGCUGAAAAUAGAGAGAGAAAGACAUGCAAUACAACCCUUGGCAAAAAUGAUGGAAUUAUCGUACUUGGAGGAUGCUCAUCCUGAUUUUUUCACUUCGUAGCAAAGAAACAAAUCACAGAUAUGACACAAAGCAACUUUUGUUUAAUAGCUGAACCUUCUGGCUUCAUGAAACAUACCUCAAAAAAAUUAAACGAAAUUGUUUUAUUUAAUGGCAGAUUUUUUUCCCUCAGAUCAAGUAGAGGAAUAAAUGAUAGAAUCACUUAAUGUUGAGGAGGAAAAAAAUUAUGGAAUCAUCAACAAAAAACAAUCACAAUUAGUACUAUGUUGCUCCUCCUUGGGCUUUAAUUAUGGCCUGAAUUCUUUGAGGCAUGAGCUUCACUAAUGAAAAACAGUAUUCUCCAUCAAGCUGGUUGUAACUCUCUCGAAUAGCGGUUGACAGAUCAGCUUUGUCAUGGACCAAUUUUUAAAUUUCCACCAGAAAUGUUCAAUCAGAUAGAGAUCCGGACUGUUUGCUGGCCAGGUCAUUGAGUUUAUCUGCCUUUCCUGAAGAAAAGCUUUAACACUUUUUGCUCUGUGGCAAGAUGCAUUAUCAUCCUGAAAAAUGAUUUCAUCAUCAUCAGACCUAUUUUCUAUCGAUGGAAUGAGAAAAGUGCCCAAAAUUGUAAUCUACACCUGUGCAUUGACUGUUGAGGUUAUCCCUGGUCCUUCACCUGACAUGCAACCCCAUAUCAUAAACGAGUGGGGAAAUUUUAUUGUUUUCUUCAGGCAGUCAUCUUUAUAAGUUUCAUUAGAACGGACAUAUCUGCCAUUAAUUGAAGGAAUUUAAUUUAACUUGUUUGGGGUUUGUUUCAUGAAGCUAGAAUGUUCAGCUAUUAACCAAAAAAUAGUUUUGUGUAUCUGUGAUUUGUUUAUUUGCCACUAAGUAAAAAAAUGUCGCGUGAAUAUCCUCUAAGUGUGAUGAUUCCAUAAUUAUUGCCAGGGGUUGUAGAUGGCAGGGCCAGUCAUGGGCUAGGGAAAAACUUUGUCUGGACAGUGUGUUUGUGGCACCAUUGUACAGAUCCAGCAUAUGAGUCGUCUUCAGUUAUUCUAACAGCGGGACUACCUCAGGAACUUCUGCGCAUGGCUAAGAGAGCCGUCCGACCUCAUGCCGCCUUAAUGAUUCAUGUGAAUAGCAUAUUAAAGCGACGUCUAGCAUUCUCGAUGAAUGAUCAAGGAUUGAUCAUCUUCAAGUCGUCUGUUUUGAUAUUCUGAAGUUCUUUUCUUGUUUAAAUACGCCAGUAUUCUGAUGCUUCUGGCCAUCAGAGGAGACUGGGUCGCCUGCAUACAUCUCGAAGACACACGUGGCACUAGAGAGAGGUUGAAGAGUAGAGCUGAAUUGGAAUGCCUGUCCAUGGAAGGCAGCUCUCAAAAAGCAUCUGUGUUCUGGGGCAAUGAGAAAUGGAAAUAUCUAAAUCCACUGACGUCAUGUGCUUAUGUGGCAUGAAUUAUAUCUAGCAUCUCUAACACACAGAAGGGGCAAGCUUUUAAUAACCGGUUCGGCCCUGCGAACAGAAUUGGAGGGAAACCAUCAUUCUUCUUCUGAAUUUUAAUGUAGAUUGAGCAGGACCCUUCGUUCUAAACCAGAGAUUUUGCCGGUGUUCAAGAGGAAUUCAGAGCGGGGUGAGAGUGGCCAUCUUGUUAAGCUUGUGUAAGGCGGAUGGGGCCUUUGUGGCUAUAGGAACAGAGGACCAGGUUACGUUGACCAAUCGGUGCUGCAUGGCUAGUAUGUUCGCCAGUGAUGGUUUCUCUAGGUGUACUCACACUAGGCCCGGUUGCCUUGAACCAUGCCCAAGCACGACUGCCAACCCCCCCCCCCCCAAAACACUCCCACUGGCCUGCACUCACAUUGCACUUAACGUUCUUGGCCUGAGUACAUUUACUUCAUUACGAUGCACCUUUGUUUUGAAGAAAACAGGAAGAAAAGCGCUCUCUUGCAUUAUGAUUUAUGUGGAGUCGUUUGGGGCCUGGUAACACACGGCCCUCUCAUGUGCCUAAUGGAUUGUCUAAUAGAUUUAUCAGUUAUGCAGCGUAGUGAUUUUCACCUAAUCGUGCUGCACAUUUCAGAAGAUUUUUACGGAGGCAGGUGAUGUUGACGGAAGAAUUUACAGUUUUACUCGCCGACAACAAUUCCCCUUCAUCAACAAUGUGAGAACCAGACCCGUUAUAAACCCAAGUGUUCUCGAACAGAACAGUCACGUUUCGAGUUCUGUGCUUGGCCGGUUAGUAAUCACACUAGAUGUGUACCAUGCCUGAGUCCAACUCUUCAAAGGGGCCUCUGUGAGUGUGAGUACACCCUUAAUUCUGAAACCCAUGCUCUCCUUUCCAGGUUCUAUUUUGCACCAGGUCCAAAAAGUAGCCCUGGCAAACAGAGCAGAUUUUGCAGGGUUUAUUUAUACAUUUGAAUUUAGACUGUGCUAACUACACUUGCCAUUGUGCAUAAAGCAGGUUGGCUCAGAAAUGCACUGUGUCCUGUCCUAGGUGUCACAAUGCCAGAAGUGAGGUGUCAGUCAGCAACCUCAUGACCAGCGUCUACAGAUUAGAGUGGUUGUACCAAUUCUAGCAGUAGAAGUGACUAGGUAUAUACCAUACACAAUACAAUAGGUUCUCACUAGAAGAUCAUCAGGGUUGGAUGCAGCACAUGUCGGGGCACAGAGAUUUGUCAAUGUCAAUGGUAGUUUUGUGACCCAGACUGACCUGCUUGUGUUGAGGUGUAAUUUAAAAAAAAACUUCUCUAAAGCUGUCAAUAAAAUUAUGUAAUAAUUUUUUUUUAAACAGUGUCUUAUGGAAUUUGAUUGUGAACAGCAUUGUUCAAAAGACUGCAUGUGUUGCCACUGGCUGCAUGUCACUAUCUAAUCCCACUUGAGCCACCGCCACUUUGAGGGUGGCUGUCACAGCUAGAUUAGAGUUUAUCAGCAGUGCAUGUGAGCUGACAGAGGUCUAUGCAGAUUUGUUUUUGGACGUUACUGAGGUCACAGUCGAACAAGGUGAUUCAACUCCCAAGACAUUAUCAGCCUGGAAUAACCUUCCAGUCAUUCCGGUAGACAUAGCGUCCUCCCACUCCUUGGACGAGGACCGAAGGAAUGCUGGCCAUUGGGCUAUAAGGACAGCUCUUUUGAAGGACGUGAUUCCAAACAUCCCAUUCUCGGUUCCAGAAUAAUCAGCUAAGCCAUGCUGCCAGGUCGUCCAUAUGCCUAGCAAAUGACUCAGGUUGCUUUCUUGUGUUCUGUGCUAUGCUUAUCAGUCGUUGCCGGAUGUGGGCGAAGGUCUUGGCGCCAAAGGGGGUCGUGGUAGCUCAGGGGUUAAGACAUUGGACCUCUGCUCAGAAAGACAGUUCAAAUCCUGCCACCACUGGGCCCCUGAGCAAGGCCCUUAACCCUCAGUUGUAUAAAUGAGAUAAAUGUAAGUGGCUCUGGGUAAGGACAUCUGCCAAAUACAAUUAAAAAAUGUAAUAAAUAACUAAAAUGCUAUGUGUGCAUUUAGUGUAUAUGCUUCAGGUGCACUGAUGUGUUGGUUAUCAGUUCCAUAUGCAGUUUUCCUCAGGUCAUCUCCACUAUUCAGCCAUAGCAUUUUGCCUAGUCUUGUAUGAAAUGUUAGAUUUGUUAGUAGUUAUCAGGUAGCGGUGAAUGGUUUGGCCAAGUAAAUUGUUCUUAGUCACCAAGUCUAUUAAAAAUUUCCUCAAUUAACUCCAUGUAGAUAUUAGGUUUUUUUAAUCAGUAAUGGCACAAAUGCUGAACAACUCUCCAUAAAGUAAAAUACAGACAAUGAAAUUGAUUAUUUUUAAUCAUUAAGAUCUUCCGAAUGGUUCAUUGUGCUUAAUGGUUAGCACGUUCGCCUCGCACCUCCGGGACCGGGGGUUGAAUCCCGCCUCCGCCCUGUGUUCAUGGAGCUCGCAUGUUCUCCCCGUGCUUCAGGGGUUUCCUCCGGGUGCUCUGGUCUCCAGUCCAAAGACAUGCGUUGUAGACUAAUUGGCAUUUCCAAAUUGCCAGUAGUGUGUGAAUGUGUGUGCAAUCAUAACGAAAUGAUAUGAUUCUGUGUUGUUCUCAACAGAGAUUUAUGCGCCUCAAGAUUGUUAUACAGUUGAUAAGUGGCACAUGCGAUAGCUAGUGUGCAUAAACACCACCUGAUAUCUGUCCACCUGAUGUCAUGUCUCAUGGGAGUUAAUAAGAUUAAAGUUAUACAAGUUUAAUCAUUAGCCAGGGAGAGAGAGAGACCCAUAAGAGACCAGGGACCUGGGUGGCUGUUAAUGUGUGUGUGCAUGUGUGUGUGUGCGUGUGUUUGUGUGUGUGUGUGUGCGUGCGUGCGUGCGUGCAUGCGUGUGUGUUUACCAUAUCACUGCAGUCUGCAUUGAAGAAUACCUCAAGGGACUGAAGGAAAGCACUACGUAGUUUCUCACACAGCCCCUCUCAAUUUUCUUUUCUUUUUUAAAAAAAAUACCUUUCUUUCCUUCCUUCUUUCUCUCCUCCCAUUCCUCCCUCCCUCCUCUCUUUCCGUCUCUCUCUCCUGCUUCCCCCAGAGGUGCUGUGACAACACUUCCUGGUUGGUGCUAGUGGGCAGGGUUAUGCUUGCGCAUGAUUGGUCGCUUAACUGGAUGCUCUGCGCAGUACUGUUGUGCCGUUAGACUGCUGUUGCUGCUCUCCUGCACUCUCUCUCUCGUGCGCACGCUCUUUCUCUCUCUCUUCCUCCCUCGCUUGCUUUUACUCUCUUGCACUACUGAGGUGUUUGGCUCUCACACGCACACAGAGGGGUACGCACAGGGGCUCGCUCACAUUAACCAGUAAACACAUCUACAUGCAGUGGAGCAGCGAGGAGCCAGAUACAUGUUAGGUUAGGAAACACACUCUCUCGCUCUCUCUCUCUCUCGCUCACUCGCUCUCACUCUCGCACACUCUCUCUCUCUCUCUCUCUCUCUCUCUCUCUCUCUCUCCCCCCCCCUCCCUCCCUCUCUCUCUCUUUUUCUGAGAACGGUCCAGCUGGUGCCUGGGGCUCUGCUGUCGCGGCCUGCUGCCUGCAUCUGAUCACGAUCUCUCUCUCACAUACACACACACACACACACACACACACACACACACACACAAACUCGCGCACAGAGCUGGCUCACAGGGAAGCACAAUGUGAGAGGUAAGGAUUUCCUUCCUUAUUUUAGUCCUAUCUCCUUGUUACUUCCACAGCAAAGCCAGCUGCGGCAACAGAAAGCCUUCAGGCAGUGCAGGACUUUCUGAGUGUGUGCGUGCGCGCGUGCGUGUGUGUGUGUGUGUGUGUGUGUGUGUGUGUGUGUGGGCUAUGUUUGGAUUUCCAUGGAGGGCUACUAGUCUGCUACACACAGGAAACAGGUCAAUUUAAUAGGUUAAAGCUGUCACUCCACACAGACACACAAGUGUGUGUGUGUGUGUGUGUGUGUGUGUCAGGAAGCAGGGUGAAGAUGUGACCCAGCUUCUGUUUUUUUUCUUGUUUAGACUAAAACGGCACGUGGCUGGUUAAACGUUGAGCCGAGGAGCUUUUCUCUCUCCUUCUCUGUCCUUGUUCUGCCUCUGUCUCUAUCCGUCUCUUGUCUGUAUGCUUGAAGUGUGUGUGUGUGUGUGUGUGUGUAUGUGUGUGUGUUUUUGCAUACACUCUGCGUGCUGAGCUUCCCGCCCCCAAAAUGUAAAUUACGUAUGACAUGUCUAGUUGGUGCUUCCUAAUAUGGGGUGCGCUGCGUUUCAGCAGGAUCCUGCCAGCCACUCUAGGAUUCCACCGGGGCGUGUGAGACAGAGUGUGUGUGUGUGUGUGUGUGUGUGUGUGUGUGUGUGUAUGUGUGUAUUUGUGUCAGCGUGAGCGAGACCAUUAGUUGGAGGCUAGAGAGAGAGAGUGCAAGAGAGGGAAAGAGAUGUCUAUGCAUGGUUUUCGCUUCUCUUCGAGUGCGUCACUCCUCUCGAAAGACGCCAUGUAAGUAAUCUGUAUUGAGUUUUACACUAAUACCUGCGAGCGUGAACAAACCUGUGAGCUUGAGCUUUCAGGGUUUUGUUGGGUUUUUUUCCGGUGGUAUCCUGCAGCGUCAGACUAAACCAUGAUCUGUUUGUUCCCAAGCUCCAACGUCUUGUUAUUACUCUUAUCGAUGAAAAAGUUCUUCAUUUCCAUAUGUGGGUUUUAAAUCAGUAGAUGGUGUUAGGAGUGUAACAUCAUACAGAAGACGUGUGGUUGGACUGGCGUUGUGCUUUGAUGGUUUUGAACUAGUACGUGAAGCUUUUUAUUAGGGUUUAAUGUUCACUCAAUGCAGGCGAUAUCAUAAAGAUUACAGCCUGGGAGUGGUGUGUUGUGUGCCAUGCUUUAAGAAGGACUGGGAGCGGUGUGUGUGAAAGAGAGUGUCGCACUUUACAGGGAAAAAGCGAAAGUUUUAAGGAAGUCCUGUCACGUGCUGUUGGAGGGAGACGCACUCACUCCGGGCGUGAACGCCUGUCCUGCAGCCCAGUCCAGUUAACACUCGGUUUCCGCUACACUCGGAGUAAACCAUUCCAAAACAUCCGUAACCGAUCUCGAAGUACAAAGGAAAACACAAAAAACGGAAUAACGGUGCGCAUCGACCGUAUAGAACAUAACAAAACCACAUCCUGUUCACCAUAGAUGAUUUUCAGACGUGUCGAGGUGUUGAUUUAUUGUUGGUUUAUACACAGAACCAUGCGUCACCUUCACAGGCGAAUUUUCAGGUCAGAGUUUUAUGGCGGAGUGUACGGUACGGGGUUAGAGGUUCCAUAAUGCGAAAUGAGUAGAUUACGACCCACAAAUAAACGUAGAGAGAUUCACAAAACGUAAACAAAUUCACAAAUAAAUAGAUUGAGAUCCACAAAUAUAUGUUAGGAGUUUCACAGAGAUGAAAUAAAAUGAGAUUUGCAAAAAAAAAAAAAUGUUUUUACGUCACAAACACAACUCUGCCUUGCAUUCAUUUGUGGAUUGCUGCACACAUUUGUGUUUUGAAACAUUUCUAGUGUCAAGAGUGCACACAAAUCCACAAAUAGUUGGACUCCGCCCACCGUCUACUCAAGCCAAUCAGAUAACCGCCACAUUGCACUGACCGAUCAUAGUAUGGUCUCGCUCCAACCAAUCAGGUUUGUUUUUACAGGAAAGGAGUCAUGCUGCGUAUAUAAUCUAACAGCAUCGUUAUAAAAACAUGUAAAAGAAAACCAGCAACGUUAUGGGUCAUCAGUGCACAGUUAUUAUUAAUGCACCAAUGUAUCAGCCGUUAAAGCCUAUUUUUCACGCUAUCAGCUGAUACUUUAAAAACAUCCGAUGUUCAGGGUCGAUUGUAUCCAGUCAAUAAAAAGAAAGCGGGAAAAGACACGAGUUUCGUGCUGUGUGUAAAGAUGAUGUGUUUUGUGUAGAAUGAUGACAAAACUGCAGUUUGUAAGCUCUGUAAUCUCUGCACUGCUAAAAAUUUACACCGGAAGUGAACAGCAGUGAAGCGGGAGUUUCGGCGUCUAGUCUUUUUUUUUUUUGCCGCACUGCUCGAGUUGAAUUAAAGGGCCAGUACACCAUUGAAAGAUUUAAAUGCAGAUGAGUUAACAAAAAGUAUAUAUUGCACAGAAAAAUAUAUUUGUAGAGUAGUAUAUUUCAUAUCCAGUUAAUGUUAAUAUAUAAAAAGUCUAUAUUAUAUAUGACCAGUGUGAUGUUCAGUGAUGAAGUAGAAAUGCUUGUGUUUGUGGUGAGUGAAUGUGAGACUAACAGGAGGUUUUUUAGAAUUCAGUCAAUGUUAAUAUGAAUUAAUAACAUUCAGUAAGUUCAGAAAUCUUACUUUAAUCUUCAGAAUUUAGUUAAUGUGUUAAUGUUAAUUAGAGUAAUGUGUUUUCUGUUUAUGAGACCAGUUACUGUGGAAAAAACUUGUUCAAAUGGAGAGAAUAAAGUUUUUAUUUGCAUUUUUUUCAGAAUUGUGGAAUUAAUUGUUAUUCAUUUAAAAGAAGGCAACAAAGGCGGAACUAUCGGUAUGGGUAUCGGCCGAUAUCACUCUGAAUAAUCGAUUAUCAGUAUCGGCUGAGAAAUUUAGUAUCGGUGCAUCUAUAGUUAUUAUAGAUGAGUGGUCUGAUGGAAUAGUAAUGAUUGAGUCACUGAUUCAGUAAGGAUUCGUUAGACUGAUUCAAACUGGUAACUCCUACGGUCUGUGAAUCUUUUAGAACGAUUCGUUUAGAGAAUGUAAAGAUAAGUGUCUUUAACCCGUGAAUUUAAUGAUGAUGGACACGCUGUGUUUUGACAUGCAGCCUCCGAGGACAACAUUUUUUCCCCGAUACACAGUCGCUACACUCGAUUUACUGUAAAAUCACAACUCUGGUUUCACCGUGGAUUCGGUAGAGAUGCAGGAAACACUGGUGAAAACACAAAUAUUCCCUAGGGUUAGAUAAAUAAAUAAAUCUAUAAAAUAAAGACUGAAAGCAUAACAUUGCUUGUUUUCUUUUAGCCGUUGUCACAGUGCUGCUCUUAUAUGGUUAGAACCACUCUCCUGUCGUCAUUCCUCCUGAUCGACCAUGUUGGAGAGCCUUCAUAACCUGCGAGUUCGGUGCAAUAUGACUCUGUUCUCGUCCUGAUCAUAAAUCACAACAUGAUCGGUUGGAGCGAGACCGUGUUACGAUUGGUCAGCGCAAUGUGGCGGUUAUCCGGUUGGCUUGAGUAGACGGUGGGUGGAGUCCAACUAUUUGUGGAUUUGUGUGCACUCUUGAUGCUAGAAACGUUUCAAAACCCACGCGAUCCACAAAUGAAUGCCAGGCAGUUGUGUUUGUGAUGUAAAAACAUAUAUUUGUAAAAAAAAAAAAAAAAAAUGUCGCAAAUCUUAUAAAAUUGUAUUUUUUGUGAAUUUAUGAAAUAAAUUUUUGUGAAACUCCUAACAUAUAUUUGUGGAUCUCAUUCUGUUUAUUUGCGAAUGUGUUGAAUAUUUGUGAAUCUCGCUAUAUUUAUAUGUGGAUCGUACUGAAACUCGAACCCGUAGGAGUGAUGUAUUAUGGGGAAAUAGGUAAUGUGCUGUUCGGACUCUGUGCUGCGAGCGCAGUGCUGUUCUACUGAAUUGAAUGUGGAUUGUAACGUGAGCGUAUGAACAGUGCCUGUUCCGUGUAGUGAGAACGUCAUAACAUUACUGUUUUGUAUUCCAGCGGAACACAAGUGUGUAUAGUGGUAGGUGGAUUCUGGCCUGAUUCAGAUGAAAUGAGUUCAUGCUGGCUUUUUUAGGACUUGAAUGAUGCAGCAUGUUUUUGCCUUUCUUCUCCUUUCUUCUUUUUUCCCCUCUCUGCAUUGUGUUGCACAGUACACAGUACCUGCAGGUGUACAUGCCUCUGUACGUGUGUCUAGAUACAGUGGGAUGCAUGGUCGGAGAUCAGAGACUGAGACAGAGACUGUCCACUUUACAACAUUUGCACUUCUGUUUUCUGUUCUGAUUUGUACUUUUGCGUCACAUUUAUUUAUUUAUGUAUUUAUUUAUUUAUUUAUUUUUGUUGUCAGCGAUUCAUAUCUGUCAUGACUGUGAACAGACGCCCGCCCUGAAAUGACCUGCACGCAUCCAUCGGCACAGCAGCAGCAGAAUGAACAAACUAACAAAACGCAGAGGCUUUCACUUUCGAGGUCAGCUGAGAUCUUUUCAGCUGUUCUUGAUCAGAGCGAGAAGGUUGAGAAGUAAAAAAAAAAAAAUUUUUUAAAAAGGCCAGAUGUAUAGCCUUUAACGCUUUUGCACUUAUCGGCACUUCUGUUCUGACGUGUUGGUGUGGAAGAAGAGAAUAGAGUGAUAUGAGCAUAAGAGCUCUGUGGGGGGGGGGGGGGGGGGGGGAUGUGUGAAUGAUUUCUGGCAGUUUUUAAGAAGUGUUUACAGACCUGGAAUAAAAGCAGAUUUGCGUCGCUCGUGCUUGGAUGCAGAAGUACAUCUGGGCGCAUCCCGGUUUGAGACGCAGACGCACGACAGAGAGAUUUGUGUCUGCCUGCCAUCCAUUGUUCAUUCUUGAAAGAAAUGAACACAAAUAUUGCCGUAAUCAGCAGCACAUGUAGACAUCAUACACGCAGGGUUAUUAAAUCUAAAUAUAACUGGAAAGAGCUUUUUUUGCUUUUUUUUUUAAAGAGAAUUCUCCGUUGUUUUUCCUGUACUGUGAGAUGAAUAAAGAGUUGUUGUGGCCCCAAAAUCUGCCCUUUAGACUUCAGUUGACUUGAGUUUUAUUUAGAUGGGUUUAAACUAGAGCUGCAACAACUAAUUGAUCAAAUCGAUAAUAAUCGGUUAUGAAAAUCGUUGUGAAUGAAUCUCAUUAUGGAUUAGUUGUUCUGCGCGCGACACAGGGGAGGUUUACUCAUUACGUUACUUCUGUUCAGAAAACACGCCUCGGAGAGUAAAUACUAAAGUUGUGUCCCAAACUGUACACUUACACUAUGUACCGUGUACUCUACCGUCUAGUGUAUAAAUUUUAGAAAGGUAAUAUCAUCUCAAAUAUAACGUGAGCGGUUCCUUUACUAACCGGAAGUAUAAACCGCCUCCUAGUCGACGGCACAUGACGUCAUACACACGCCAGCAUUAGCAGACACCCAGAGUCACCAACAAUGACUUUCUUCAGUUUACUGUUACUUUUUAUAAAAAGUAAUGCAUAAAUACUAUUAUAUAAUAU
ensembl:lncRNA